UUUUUUUUUUUUGUUAAAAUUGAAUGCAUAAUAUUAAUUUGUACAAUAACUUUUAUUUAUCCCGAAUUAUAUAUAGGUAAUGCUAGUUGACGAUUUAUUGUUAAUCACGUAUCAUACACAUUGUCUGUGAUUUAAUUGCCGAACGAGUGUCGUAGUCGAUGUAAUGUACGAGAUACUCUGAGCCACGUAACACGACGACCGAUAAAAUGAAUGUAGAGAGAAAAAGAGGGGGGGAGAGUGAGAAUAAGAGAGAAUGAGGAUGAGAAUAAGAGAGAACUUGUAAUUGUGCCUGUCCGUAACUAACGUGCAAACAUACGUGUGCACCACGUAUGUAUAUAAACACAAUAAAUUUCAAAUAGCCAUUAAAUUCACUGAAGUAUUUAUCGAUAGUUUAUUAAUAUUAUCUUUUUUCCAUUCGUCAUUCUCACGUAUUAUCUUAAAGAUCGUAUAUAAUAGGUUUUUAUCUAUCAAAUCAUAUAUUCUCU